rnacentral:rRNA from 1 species
AGGACGAACGCUGGCGGCGUGCUUAACACAUGCAAGUCGAGCGGAAAGGCCCUUCGGGGUACUCGAGCGGCGAACGGGUGAGUAACACGUGAGCAACCUGCCCUUGGCUCUGGGAUAGCCUCCGGAAACGGGGAUUAAUACCGGACAUUCACUUUCUCCUGCAUGGGGGUUGGUGGAAAGUUUUUCGGCCAGGGAGGGGCUCGCGGCCUAUCAGCUUGUUGGCGGGGUAACGGCCCACCAAGGCGACGACGGGUAGCCGGCCUGAGAGGGCGAUCGGCCACACUGGGGCUGAGACACGGCCCAGACUCCUACGGGAGGCAGCAGUGGGGAAUAUUGCACAAUGGGCGCAAGCCUGAUGCAGCGACGCCGCGUGGGGGAUGAAGGCCUUCGGGUUGUAAACCCCUUUCACCAGGAGCGAAUUCAGACGGUACCUGGGGAAGAAGCGCCGGCUAACUACGUGCCAGCAGCCGC